CCUACGGGUGGCUGCAGUGGGGAAUAUUGGACAAUGGGGGCAACCCUGAUCCAGCCAUGCCGCGUGUGUGAAGAAGGCCCUCGGGUUGUAAAGCACUUUCAGUGAGGAAGAACGCCUGGUGGUUAAUACCCAUCAGGAAAGACAUCACUCACAGAAGAAGCACCGGCUAACUCCGUGCCAGCAGCCGCGGUAAUACGGAGGGUGCGAGCGUUAAUCGGAAUUACUGGGCGUAAAGCGCGCGUAGGUGGCUUGAUAAGCCGGUUGUGAAAGCCCCGGGCUCAACCUGGGAACGGCGUCCGGAACUGUCAAGCUAGAGUGCAGGAGAGGAAGGUAGAAUUCCCGGUGUAGCGGUGAAAUGCGUAGAGAUCGGGAGGAAUACCAGUGGCGAAGGCGGCCUUCUGGACUGACACUGACACUGAGGUGCGAAAGCGUGGGUAGCAAACAGGAUUAGAUACCCCAGUAGUC
rnacentral:rRNA from 1 species